rnacentral:rRNA from 1 species
CACGUAGGGCGCAAGCGUUGUCCGGAAUUAUUGGGCGUAAAGAGCUCGUAGGCGGUCUGUUGCGUCCGCUGUGAAAACUCGGGGCUUAACCCCGAGCCUGCAGUGGAUACGGGCAGACUAGAGGUAGGUAGGGGAGAAUGGAAUUCCCGGUGUAGCGGUGAAAUGCGCAGAUAUUCGCAAGAACACCAGUGGCGAAGGCGGCUCACUGGCUCGAUACUGACGCUGAGGUGCGAAAGCGUGGGGAGCAAACAGG